CCUACGUGUGGCAGCAGUGGGGAAUAUUGGACAAUGGGCGAAAGCCUGAUCCAGCCAUGCCGCGUGUGUGAAGAAGGCCUUCGGGUUGUAAAGCACUUUCAGUGGGGAAGAAAGCCUUGGGGCUAAUACCCUCGAGGAAGGACAUCACCCACAGAAGAAGCACCGGCUAACUCCGUGCCAGCAGCCGCGGUAAUACGGAGGGUGCGAGCGUUAAUCGGAAUUACUGGGCGUAAAGCGCGCGUAGGCGGUCUGAUAAGCCGGUUGUGAAAGCCCCGGGCUCAACCUGGGAACGGCAUCCGGAACUGUCAGGCUAGAGUGAAGGAGAGGAAGGUAGAAUUCCCGGUGUAGCGGUGAAAUGCGUAGAGAUCGGGAGGAAUACCAGUGGCGAAGGCGGCCUUCUGGACUGACACUGACGCUGAGGUGCGAAAGCGUGGGUAGCAAACAGGAUUAGAUACCCUGGUAGUC
rnacentral:rRNA from 1 species